rnacentral:rRNA from 1 species
UACAGAGGGGGCAAGCGUUGUUCGGAAUUACUGGGCGUAAAGGGCGCGUAGGCGGCCUGCUAAGUCGAACGUGAAAUCCCCGAGCUCAACUCGGGAACUGCGUCCGAUACUGGCAGGCUUGAAUCCGGGAGAGGGAUGCGGAAUUCCAGGUGUAGCGGUGAAAUGCGUAGAUAUCUGGAGGAAUACCGGUGGCGAAGGCGGCAUCCUGGACCGACAUUGGCGCUGAACGGCGAAAGCUAGGGGAGCAAACGGG